CAGCAAAUAAAUAGAUAAUUUCACAUAUAUAUAUAUAUAUUCCGCAGAUGGUCUGCAUUAUUGUAUUUUUCGCUUAGAUUUACAUAUUGUUACGCCUGGAUUGUACGUACAUAAGCAACCCCUGCUAGUCUACAUUUUGUACGCUUUUUUAGGUUUAAAAUGAAAAAAAAAAAACUAAAGUGUUCAAACGCGUAAGUUAACGACGAACUAACUGCUAGAUUAGUGUCACUGCUUCAAAACAAGCACAUUUUUCUGAUGUCCACCACAGAAUCGUUAGAAUGUCUUUGCUAUACCGCUCUUUGCCUAAUCUUACUAACUCGUACCUCCUUAUGUUUGUUCACAACUUUCUUGAGCUCGACUGGAGCCUUCAUCAUUUAUCGUCAUUAAUAUUGUUUCGUGCUGGCUUCCAAGCGUACCCUUUCCUCACUGUUUACUCGAUGUAAGUAUACUUCAAGGACUUCACGCCAACCCUGCGUCGGCAUCACCUCUGCCAUCAUCAAGCGGACUAUUACCAUAGUCGUUAUUUUUGCUAAACUAAUUAUUAGUUUUUUUUUUCAUUUGGGAAUUCGUAAUACUGACACUGUUCGCACGCAGCGUAUCAUUUCCGUUCGCCGGCAAUCAUAAACAGUUGCGUGUUACGUCGAGGUACUGUGUACGUUCGUUCCGUGCUCUAAUGCCGCCGGGUGGUUUGUCGACAUCGAGGACGUCGUCCAAAACGAUCAAUCUUAAAUUGCAAUUGGAAACACUUACCAAACAAAACGGACCCGGUGACCAGCGCUAGACGGCUGGCCGCUUGUUGAAAGGCUUGCACACGGACGAUGCUGCCGUUGCGCCUUACGUGAAUAAACCAGACGUACGUUCUCGGUCACAACUUCGUUCCGAUAGAAAGACAUGAGAUAAAACGACAAACGAAAAUAUUGAUUUACACGACUAGGCGAUUUCUGGAUUGGCAGUAGGGACGUCGUUAUUUAGCUUGCAAUUUCUUUACUGUUGUAACAUUUGGGCGUAUGCAUCUUUUAAUAUAGAUACGUUUUUUGACGUUUUGUGCAUAGACGAUCGCGGUAACAGUAAGCACGAUUGCAUUGGCUAAAUCCUAAUUUUUGGGAAAACCAAAGUAUGUUUAUUCUCUGUAACUUGACGUCACAGACAUGUGUGUUUUAAGCCAGCCGUCAGUAUAUAUAAACGCGAAUUGGCUUAAGCUCAAUAGAAAACAGCUCAGUCGAAGGGGUGGACUCGUAAAGGUCCACAAUAUGGCGUGUAUGUCCUCGUUUUUUGCUCUUUUCACGUGCUUUAAAUGGCGCACAUCGUAGGAAACUUGCACCUCAAUAUGUGACCGCCAAAGUAGUCAUAUCGACGAGCACUUGAUCAGCCUCGAUCGUAACGCCGUGCAAUUUGGAUGUCUUCAAAAUGUAUUUGUGCAUUCACGUUACACGUAAACACUCAGAAACUGCUGGCAGCCGUUAACAUCAACAACACGUACAGCGUCUCCAGGCCUAAAGUUUCUAUUCUGUGUAUGUCGCAAGUUCCUUGAGCGUGCUUAUACCGAGUAGAAGAGAAUGAUGAUUUCGGGGCCAAGCUGUUCAACGCCAAAUAAGGGCUUACUCCAAUGCUGCGUGGACUGGUGGAAACCUCUGCGUCCGUAACAGCGUUCAGGCUAUAUACACUUAUUCGGGAUGUUAUGAUCACGUUCCGGUGGUUCAGUCGUGCAUCUUAGAGGUGGGAAUGUUCACUAGCUCCGCUCGAUACUACGAAUCCAUCCAUCCAUCCAUCCAGCAAGCGCGCUGAUGAUGUGGCUACCCGUCAAUUCCUUGAUGACAACCUAUUCGAUCGCAUGGCACGCUCUACUCAGAGAAUCGAGCAGUUAAGCAAGCAGAUAACGCCAACGUCACAUUUACUGUCCCAAGUGUGGCGCGAGGCCGUACAACCACCUUGCUUAGAGUUUUCGAGUCGGGCUUGUGAAAACCAGAUGUUAGCACCAGCGAUCGCGGCAAUCGAGAAGGUAGCGCCAAAGACCAGGUUUGAAGCUCCACCACUCUAUACGCCACUGUUUAGCGAUGCCCUCAUUCCUCAAAAGACUUCAUUGUCUACAAUCCACACCCCACCGGAUACUGAACGUUGUCCGGGAAGACGACUGUUCGACGACGCGUCAACAAACACACCCCCCCACGAUACCGCUAUCCUCACUGCCAGCCCCACUUCAUGAAUCCAUUCCUGGAAAAGUAAACACAUCAGAAGGUCAACGAUUAUGGUGACAGGUGCGAGCACGCGAUCAUUUGGAAGUAACUCCCUAGGUGCAUUACCAUGGUCUCUUCAGAACGCCAACACCUGACAACAUCCCGAGCCGAUUAAUCUUUUAAACUCUUGAAAAAUCAUUCUUAACAUAUAACGGUAGCGAGUUAUUACAUUUUGCGUUCUUAUUUUUUAACCUAUGCCGUCGUAUAGACACUUAAAAAAGUGUUUAUACGACGGCAUAGGCUACAGGGUAAAUUAGUGUCUUAAGGAUACAGCCAAUGAGCACGAUCAUAUUAACCCGUAGCUGUAAGUCAAUAACAAGUGGAUUCCCUGGCGUUUGUAACGUUUUCCUUCUUAGCUUGAAUUAUAGUCUUCGAAUCGUUCCCUGUAAAACGCUAGAAUCAUACAAACGCGAUCGACGCUUUAGACGUAACAAAUAAAUUAAACGAACGUUCUAUACAAUGAUGGCGUACUAAUUUACACAUUGGAGCCUUCAUAGUAAUGGAUGCAGCACAUGACUUCAAUGGAUUUUUGUUUUAAUUUUUAUAAGCGAUGUAGGGUCGUAGUAAAUUCCAAAAUGCUAUACCGGCAAAUGAAAAAAGGGGGAGCCGUUUGAAAACUAGACUCAGCUCUGAGCCGGAUGCGGUACCCCUUUCGUUCUUUUAAAACAGACGUCUUCUCUCUUACUUAUUCAU